AUUGAACGCUGGCGGCAUGCCUUACACAUGCAAGUCGAACGGUAACGGGCCUUCGGGUGCCGACGAGUGGCGAACGGGUGAGUAAUGCAUCGGAACGUACCUUUCAGUGGGGGAUAACGUAGCGAAAGUUACGCUAAUACCGCAUAUUCUGUACGCAGGAAAGCAGGGGAUCGCAAGACCUUGCGCUGAUUGAGCGGCCGAUGUCAGAUUAGCUAGUUGGUGAGGUAAAGGCUCACCAAGGCGACGAUCUGUAGCGGGUCUGAGAGGAUGAUCCGCCACACUGGAACUGAGACACGGUCCAGACUCCUACGGGAGGCAGCAGUGGGGAAUUUUGGACAAUGGGGGCAACCCUGAUCCAGCCAUGCCGCGUGAGUGAAGAAGGCCUUCGGGUUGUAAAGCUCUUUCGGCCGGGAAGAAAUCGCAUGGGCUAAUACCCUGUGCGGAUGACGGUACCGGCAUAAGAAGCACCGGCUAACUACGUG
rnacentral:rRNA from 1 species